rnacentral:piRNA from 1 species
UAUCCAUCAUCGCCUGAAUAGUUGCCC